GAACUGCGAUAAGUAAUGUGAAUUGCAGAAUUCAGUGAAUCAUCGAGUCUUUGAACGCACAUUGCGCCCCCUGGCAUUCCGGGGGCAUGCCUGUCCGAGCGUCAUUGCUGCCCUUCAAGCCCGGCUUGUGUGUUGGGUCGUCGUCCCCUCCGGGGGACGGGCCCGAAAGGCAGCGGCGGCACCGCGUCCGGUCCUCGAGCGUAUGGGGCUUUGUCACCCGCUCGAUAAGGACCGGCCGGGCGCCAGCCGGCGUCUCCAACCUUUUUUUCUCAGGUUGACCUCGGAUCAGGUAGGGAUACCCGCUGAACUUAAGC
rnacentral:misc_RNA from 1 species